UCCACAGCACACCGCUCUGCAGCAUUCUGGGAGCCGUAGUCCAUACAAGAUGGCUCAUACCCGAAGCUAUUAGCCAAAAAUCACGGGAAGACUACAUUUCCCAUGCUGCCGUGAGGCUGGUCAUGUGAUCUGGUAUGAGCAGCUCAUUAACCUCAGUCCGUGUGUGUGUGUGUGUGUGUGUGUGUGUGUGUGUGUGUGUGUGUUUGGGGGGUGGGGGACUUGGCUCCAGGUUAUUAUCGGUCACACAUGAACAUCGGUGCGCUUGUUCUGUCUGCCGAAGAACUGAAGGUUUCUUUGUAGUAGAGAUUGAUAGAAAUGUAAAGUGGAGAAUUGCAGCAAUAACAAAUAAAUACAACGAGGAACGAGGGUUGAUUGUUGUUAGCUCGUCAAAGAAUGCGUGCUAGAAGUUGUCAGGUUGCAUUCGAGAUUUUUAUGUUAAAGUAAACGGGCAAAUAGUUAACUUUGGUUUCUGUCAAAUCGGGGAAAUUUAGAGAUGGCGACUGAUAAAACCACGGUCAGUCUGGGAGAGAUUAAAUGUGGUUGUGUUAUGAGAGACCCCGUUCCACAGGCCCACAGCGAGACACUCGGGUCCACUGCGGAAAGUAAAAUGCAGAUGAUUAAAGGUAGUCUGUUCCUUGGUUCUGUAGCUACUGCUGGGAUGCUAGCAGGUUUUGGCACAACUCUUGCAAUGGCAAAAAAGAAAAAUCCUGGAUGGUUCAAUAAGGGGAUGAAUGCAACUGUUACUGUUCCUGAGAGUGGGGCAUCACUGGCCUUGAGGGCCCUAGGCUGGGGUUCUCUUUUUGCCUGGUGUGGGGUUGGUUUGCUUAGCCUUACAGUCUGGAAGGCUUUAGGAGUACACAAUAUAGAGGUCUUACUGAACUAUGUGACACAGUUUGAACAAAGCAGUUAUAAAAUGUUUAUUGAGUUAGGGAUGUUUUCAGUAAAGAAAAGCAGCCUGUUCCAUUCCUAGGAUGUCAGUCUCCUUGGGGGCAGCUGCUCACUGCUCUCACAUCGAUGAAAGACUAGCUAACAGAAUUCAGGGAAAAGAUGCAAUCAAUAUUUCCUGAAAUUCCAAAGAACACAGACAUAUCACAGGCCACUGAGCAGUUCAGUUGGGAAAAACUGUUCAAAUCAAAGUAGUAUGAUACUGAUUUAAAGAGUGCACAUGUAAAUCCACUGUCUCCCCAAACACAAAUAAAUUUUAUAUAUUAUGGAA